rnacentral:rRNA from 14 species
AGUUCGGUCACACCACCUGCUCCACACCCGAGCUGGUCUGAUCUCAGAAGGUGAAGAAACAUUGGGUCUGGUUCGUACUUGGAUGGGAGACCUCCUGGGGACAUCUGGGGCUGUGGCUC